UUAAAUGGCUGCAGUAAUUUGACUGUACAAAGGUAGCAUAAUCAUUAGUUUUUUAAUUAAAAGCUUGAAUGAAAGGUUGGACGAAGUAAAAUCUGUCUCUUUUAAAUAAAAUUAGAAUUUAAUUUUUAAGUUAAAAAGCUUAAAUUUUUAUAAAAGACGAGAAGACCCUAUAGAGUUUAAUAAUUUUUUGGGAAUAAUUAAUUUAGUUUUAUUAAUUUUAUUUUCUAUAAAUUAUUUUAUUGGGGUAAUAAUAAGAUUUAAAUAAUUCUUUUUUUUUUACCAUUAAUUUAUGAAAUGUAUGAUCCAUUAUUUUUAUGAUUAUAAG
rnacentral:rRNA from 2 species